rnacentral:rRNA from 1 species
AGUGAACGCUGGCGGUAGGCCUAACACAUGCAAGUCGAACGGCAGCGCAGUAAGAGCUUGCUCUUACGGGUGGCGAGUGACGGACGGGUGAGGAAUACAUCGGAAUCUACUUUUUCGUGGGGGAUAACGUAGGGAAACUUACGCUAAUACCGCAUACGACCUACGGGUGAAAGCAGGGGAUCUUCGGACCUUGCGCGAUUGAAUGAGCCGAUGUCGGAUUAGCUAGUUGGCGGGGUAAAGGCCCACCAAGGCGACGAUCCGUAGCUGGUCUGAGAGGAUGAUCAGCCACACUGGAACUGAGACACGGUCCAGACUCCUACGGGAGGCAGCAGUGGGGAAUAUUGGACAAUGGGCGCAAGCCUGAUCCAGCCAUACCGCGUGGGUGAAGAAGGCCUUCGGGUUGUAAAGCCCUUUUGUUGGGAAAGAAAAGCAGCAGGUUAAUACCCCGCUGUUCUGACGGUACCCAAAGAAUAAGCACCGGCUAACUUCGUG